rnacentral:rRNA from 1 species
GACAGAGGGUGCAAACGUUGCUCGGAAUUACUGGGCGUAAAGCGCGUGUAGGCGGCCCUGCAAGUCGGAUGUGAAAUCCCACGGCUCAACCGUGGAAGUGCAUUCGAAACUGCAGGGCUAGAGUCCUGGAGAGGAAGGUGGAAUGCUUGGUGUAGAGGUGAAAUGCGCAGAUAUCAGGAGGAACACCGGUGGCGAAGGCGGGUCUCUGGGCCGAAAUUGACGCUGAGGAGCGAAAGCGUGGGGAGCAAACAGG